UAUUUAAAGAAGUCUAUCAUGAGGAAUGUGCAAAGCAAAUUAAUGGCAAGUAUCACACAAACUUCACAAGUCGACAAGUUUAUCACAAGUUGAAGGCUCAGUGGAAGGUGAUUAUGGAGGCAAAGAAUUUGAGCGGGGCCAACUUUGAUGAUGUUGAGAAAAAAAAUCCUAUAUGAUGAGACUGAAGUUGUUCGAAUGACUAAUGCCAAAGAUAAAAGGGCUAAAUUCAUUAACGUCCCCAUACGUUGGUAUGAUGAAAUGGAGUUUAUUUUUCAAGACAAGCAUGCAACAGGGGAAUUUAAUGUUCUGCAAACACCAUAUGACCAUCCAAUGACUGAAGAUGAUGAUUUUAUUGGUGAUAAAAAUGGCAGUCCUGGUGAUGUUGACCCUUCAUCAAAUUAUGACUCAGAUUGUCUUCCAGAUCAAGAGAAUAAUACUGGAAGUAGCUCAUCUUCUAGGCGUGCAAAAGGUAGAAAAUCUGAUAAAGGUAAAAGAGUUAGAACUGAUGAUAAUGUGGUUUAUGAGAUAACAGGGGCUAUGGAUAAUAUGUCUGAAACCAUGUGUUUCACACAUAUGACACAUCCAAAUGAAUCCCUAUUCAAGAUAAUUGAUGAGAUGACGGAAUACCCUGUCAUGGUUCGACUUGAGCUGCAAACUUAUCUCGCGACCCAUGAGAAUAUAGCUGCCAUGUUGAAGGGUAGGCCAUUAGAUUCUAUUAAGGAAUAUGUGGCCCAAUGGAUAAUACAAAACUAUCCAGCUGCUAUGUAAUUUCUUUGCUGAGAUGUUUGAAUAAUUACUAUGCAUUCAAGCUAAA